GCCUACGGGGCGCAGCAGUGGGGAAUAUUGCACAAUGGGGGAAACCCUGAUGCAGCAACGCCGCGUGAGUGAAGAAGGUUUUCGGAUUGUAAAGCUCUGUUAGCAGGGAAGAGGAAGGACGGUACCCGCAGAGGAAGCCCCGGCUAACUACGUGCCAGCAGCCGCGGUAAUACGUAGGGGGCAAGCGUUAUCCGGAUUUACUGGGUGUAAAGGGAGCGUAGACGGCAGUGCAAGUCUGGAGUGAAAGGCGGGGGCUCAACCCCCGGACUGCUCUGGAAACUGGACGGCUGGAGUGCAGGAGAGGG
rnacentral:rRNA from 1 species